rnacentral:rRNA from 1 species
GACGAACGCUGGCGGCGCGCCUAACACAUGCAAGUCGAACGAGAGAUGAGGAGCUUGCUCUUCAAAUCGAGUGGCGAACGGGUGAGUAACGCGUGAGGAACCUGCCUCAAAGAGGGGGACAACAGUUGGAAACGACUGCUAAUACCGCAUAAGCCCACGGCUCGGCAUCGAGCAGAGGGAAAAGGAGCAAUCCGCUUUGAGAUGGCCUCGCGUCCGAUUAGCUAGUUGGUGAGGUAACGGCCCACCAAGGCGACGAUCGGUAGCCGGACUGAGAGGUUGAACGGCCACAUUGGGACUGAGACACGGCCCAGACUCCUACGGGAGGCAGCAGUGGGGAAUAUUGCACAAUGGGGGAAACCCUGAUGCAGCGACGCCGCGUGGAGGAAGAAGGUCUUCGGAUUGUAAACUCCUGUUGUUGAGGAAGAUAAUGACGGUACUCAACAAGGAAGUGACGGCUAACUACGUGCCAGCAGCCGCGGUAAAACGUAGGUCACAAGCGUUGUCCGGAAUUACUGGGUGUAAAGGGAGCGCAGGCGGGAGAACAAGUUGGAAGUGAAAUCCAUGGGCUCAACCCAUGAACUGCUUUCAAAACUGUUUUUCUUGAGUAGUGCAGAGGUAGGCGGAAUUCCCGGUGUAGCGGUGGAAUGCGUAGAUAUCGGGAGGAACACCAGUGGCGAAGGCGGCCUACUGGGCACCAACUGACGCUGAGGCUCGAAAGUGUGGGUAGCAAACAGGAUUAGAUACCCUGGUAGUCCACACCGUAAACGAUGAUUACUAGGUGUUGGAGGAUUGACCCCUUCAGUGCCGCAGUUAACACAAUAAGUAAUCCACCUGGGGAGUACGACCGCAAGGUUGAAACUCAAAGGAAUUGACGGGGGCCCGCACAAGCAGUGGAGUAUGUGGUUUAAUUCGACGCAACGCGAAGAACCUUACCAAGUCUCGACAUCCCUUGACGAACAUAGAAAUAUGUUUUCUCUUCGGAGCAAGGAGACAGGUGGUGCAUGGUUGUCGUCAGCUCGUGUCGUGAGAUGUUGGGUUAAGUCCCGCAACGAGCGCAACCCUUAUGGUCAGUUAAUACGCAAGAGGACUCUGGCCAGACUGCCGUUGACAAAACGGAGGAAGGUGGGGAUGACGUCAAAUCAUCAUGCCCCUUAUGACUUGGGCUACACACGUACUACAAUGGCGUUAAACAAAGAGAAGCAAGACCGCGAGGUGGAGCAAAACUCAGAAACAACGUCCCAGUUCGGACUGCAGGCUGCAACUCGCCUGCACGAAGUCGGAAUUGCUAGUAAUCGUGGAUCAGCAUGCCACGGUGAAUACGUUCCCGGGCCU